UGGCUUCUACUGUUGUUAUUGGG
rnacentral:siRNA from 1 species